rnacentral:sRNA from 1 species
UAAAAAGGAAGAACGACUAAGACCGUCACGUCCUAUGACGAACGCUGACGUCACCACGUCCUGUGGA